UGGUAUAGGUGAAAGUUGAGUUAGUUAGGAUUUUACAAGUAAAGUAUAUAUAGUAUUAUGUUUCAUUUGAAUUUCUUGCAAUACAAAUAAGAUUUGAGCUGUUAGUUUUAUCCCACAAACCAUAUUAAAACCUUGAAGAUACUUUCGCAUUCACGAAAUGCCGCCUUCCCACAAUCCAUUUAUCUAUUAGUUACAUCUUCUGCCACAUUGUUUUAAAAUCUUUUUCUCAACGCCAGCUCCCCGUAUCAAAUUACGCAUCUUCGAAAAGAUGCGAGAUGUCUCCAGGUAGCUGAACAUCCAACCAUGUGCUAGCGAUCGAAUUACGCAGAAGCCCAAAGCGAUCUUCCUGGGGCACGUGACUGGAUGGAAGACUAUUGAACCAUUGAGUUUGGGGGAUCGGUUGCAUUGGUAAAAUGCCAUGGAGAACGUAAUCAACAGGCGAACUCAAAAGGAUUUACCAUGGUCAUCGUCAGCUGCUGGCCCAUUUUCUUGGAAAAUCCCAGUCACAUACGUGUGAAGUGCAAGAAUUACUUCAGGAAUAUAUAAAUAUUGGUGUAGGUUAGGUUAGGGAGUUUCUUACAAAUUUCAAGCGGUUUUACUAUUCCUAGGUAUCAGAUAUAUAUUUUUCUUUUUGGUAAUAGUUUGGGGGAAUAGUUGGUGUACUUUUGCCUUGGCUAUCAGGCUCAUGGCAAAUUCUUUGCAAUUAUAUAGGGCAGCACUUCAAUGGCAGAGGAAUACUUUGAGAAUCCCUAAAGCAUAUUCCCGAAAUUGGCUUAAUUAUUGCACCUUGCAAAUCCACGUAUAUCAGCAGCUGCUGACAAUUACCACAAGAGACUGUGUCAGGGCAGAAAAACCUAUAACCGAUCCAUAUGGCCAUAUAAAUAAUUACUUGAGGACGAGGAGUCUUAGGAUGGCGACAGGUUUCUGCUCAGAUCGCUGGAAUGCCCAACAUCAGACGAUUCCGGCGGCAUGCCAACAGUUGCAGUGAAAAUAUAUAUAAACCCAGUUUAUAAGAAAGCCAUGGCGAAGGACCUGAAGCAGAUGAGGCUGAUGUCUUGAUGGUGAUUACCAUGUUGAUAUGCGGCGCGUGGCACUGAAGAUCAAUGUGUUUGCAUUGGAGCGGCAUGUGGCAGCUGUCCUUUUUCCCUUUUUCCCUUCUUCUCGAUUCCUUUUGCAGCCAUUGUGCGGAGGAAGAAAUAGGAAGGUCAGAAGAAAGCAGCUGUACGACUGGAACAGGUAAAACAACCCCUAUGGAGAGCGUCUGUCCCCGUUCAUCGAGGGUAGUUUUCAACGUUUUCAACGUUUUCGAUCGCUUAGGGGUUGCUGCAGUUCCACGGUCUGCAGCUGUUCAAAUUUCGAAAAAUGAAAAAAAUUAACACUGCAAGACAGAUACAAGAUACAAAUGCUUGGGUAUCUGCAAGAUUCCCCUGGUUUGGCAGUGUCUUUAGGGUUGAAAUUUAAUCCUAAGCCAGGGCCAAUGACUUGCACACGAAAUCAGUACUGUCUGCUUCCCGAAAAAAUCCUCAAUCCUCAAGUGCUUCCGCUGCAGGAAGUGGAAAGGGAGCACCAGCUUCCGGUGGCUCCCAUUCUGAAGGAAAGAGCCCGCCUUUGGAGAUGCGGAUUGGAGGAGAAGCAAGGUGGAGUAGAAAGCCGGCCACGAAGACUUCUACCACUACUACCACUUCUACCGCUGCAAUACCCAACCAUCCAUAUUUAUGAAGUGACCGCGACGAGGAAGUAGGAAAUCACGUACUACGCACAUAUACGUGUAUUGGAUUGGGGCCUAUUAGCUGCAGGAUGUUGUCGUCUCACUAGCCUGGCCAACUGGCGACGCCUACUUUUUAUCGGCCCAGACAGUCGUCAGUCAAUGGAUGGAAUUGCAGCGUCGAUUGAGCGAAUGAAUGAAAUACGCGCCUCGCUUUUUUCCUUGAAGUCCCAGUCCCAGAAACGGUGCUUCAUAGACGCGUUGAUACUUUCAAUUAGCCAGGCCACAAUUAAUUAAGUGCAGCGAUUGUCUUCGCUCGAGGCUUUAAUGAUACUCUCUAACUAAUUGUAUUAAAUAUAUAAACGAUCGACUUGUUGUUGGGGCGAAAGCAAUGGAUCGGAAGCAAUCAGUACGCAUUAAAAGUAGGAAGUCAUUAAAUGAGUAUUGCGGAAGGGCUUUCUGGGCCCACUCUUUAGUAUUAACAAGGACACAUAAAUAUAGCACUUGCGAAGAAAUCAGCAACGAGGAGCUAAGAAUGAUCCAUUUCCCAGGCCCUGCAGUCAUCCAGUUUCGACAUAAUUUGGCGUAAUAACAGAAUAACUAAAGAUGAAAAGUUCAAACUUUCGGUGGUGGUCAUGGGAUGCGUUUGGAGUUCGCCGCUCUGCAGCCAAAGGUUCCCAAACGCCGAUGCCCGAAUGGGGAAAAACGAAGACCCUGCAUCCGAUCCGAUCGACUGCAAACGAUCUGGCGGCUGCAGUUGCAGUUGCAGGCAAAUUUUCGUAGUUUCCAAAAAGGAAAACCUGAUUUACCGUUCGGUGCGGCGCGGCUUGGAUCGGAUCGGAUGGGGGACGUCUUUGGAUUCGCCACCAGCGAGCACAGCAAAACAUUUCCCACGCUGAGCUGAGCUGAGCUGAGCACUGGGCAAAAAUCAAACACAAACUCAGUAGAGACAAUUCCCACGACUCCAAAUUUGUAUAUAUAGGAGAUAUAUAGUAAAUUUGCGGCUGCCGAACAUCGAAAACCUGUAACAAGCCUCGGUAAUUGCGAGAAGAGAGUGCGGAGUUGAGUUCGCCGUUCGCCGUUUGGAUCUUCCCGAAUCUUUGGCGAACUGGAGAAGCUGCAGCUGGGUGAUCGAGCGGGUGGAAAAUGUGAAAAUCAUGCAGGUGUCAUAAAACAAAAGUCUGCUCCGACGACCAACAAAAAUAACAAAAAAGGAAACCAAAUCUGCGAUUGUGCGGCCAUCGUUAGGCGAAAUCAUUUUAACGAUCUGAUGAAGAUCUCCAAACAUUCAAAAUCCCAUUGAGCGCAGACAUCAUUACAUUUCGAUUGGCACUCGUGAGUCGAGUUGGCCAUCAUUAAAGCCAGAUUACGUUGAUGUCUGAAUGAAGGCUUACAAGGGGAUCCAAUGUGAAGCUAAGCAUCAGCUUAUUUUAACGAUCGGUUCUAACAAAUCACUUCAAUGUUGAUUAGUUCGGUAACAUUCAGGCUGUGGGAAACGAUUGGAUUGCUUAAAUAUUAAUAUGCUUACUACAGUAUAAACUGAUUUCCAAGCUAUUUUCUUAGAGUCUGUAAAUUAUAUCUGUAUGGAGCAUUUACGCAUGACCUAAACAACCAACCAUUGCGCAUUGCAACAUUGUCUCAACCACCCACUUGAACUCCUUCCCCGUCUGCACCGAUUGAGGUCACAGGUCACGUGCGGCCCCGCCCCCUGCGCCGUUCCUGUUCUUGUCAGCCCACGUGCGUGAGUCAGACGACGUGUGCGGACAAUUAACACGCCCGAGGCCGCUUAAUUGCACCGGAAAUGCCCCAUAAAAGCCGGGGCUUUCGGGCAAAUGCCGGCUUGGCAUGCCGAGUGGAUCAAUGGAUCAUUUACAAAUUGUAUCAAUUGGUCAGGCAUUUGGCAUAAAUUAUCGGCAUUUUGCAGCGCCGCAAUCAGUCAGUUCGAGUGGGUGAAUGCGUCGGAUUGAGUUGGACCUAAGCUUUCUGACUUCGACGGGCUUGUCAAUGGAUCGACCCACGCCGAUAAAUAACUUAUAAGCGUAUCUGGCCACUCCGCAUAGUGUGUCUUUUAUUUUCAUUUUCGACAUAUCGGUGAAAUUAGUUGAGGAAACAGCGUGUGGGUCGUUUGUUAGUUAGUUAGAGGCUUGAUCUGUGGGCAGAAAUGCCAAGCGUUGGUCGCAGCUUAGGAGCUGAACAAGUGUCUAUCGAAAGGCUUGUAAAACAAUUCUCACAGCAAUAAAGGCAAUGCUAAAUUCUUGUCUUAAACGUACGUAAAUGAACCUAAUGAAUGUUAAUUAAUCGCUCACAAACAAACAAUUUGCGUGGGGCGGGACAAUAUGAAAGUUUUCGAGACAACAAGUGAAAUUUUGUUUACAAUAUCUUCAUUGUUUAAAACUAUUUUGCCUUUAUAUAGUUUUCCCUUUUAACCACAAGUUUCCUAGCAAUUCAUUCUCCAAAUGAUAUUGCCAAUCAAUUUUCCAGUUUGUAGUUUGAUUUGCAGCUAAGCGUACUUAGUAAAGUUCGACUGAAACAGAAAACCCCAUUGAGUGGAUCCACGAUGCGAAAACCACUUCCGUUCUGCUCGAACCGCUGACCAGUGCAGCGGAAACUGCACUGCGAUCCACUCAUCGCGAGCUGCUGGAGCGGGAAACUCUCUCUUCUGGUGUGGAUUCCCCACCGGUUUGGCCCCUCCUGGCCGCGCAUGUAACUCUAGAAGCAACUUAGCAACAAUGGACACAACAUAGACUCUGCAAAUAUAAUAAAAAUAAUUACACAACGGAAAAAGGGGCCGACUGGCGGCGACGGCGUUGACGGCGUUGACAGCGAUGAAACCAGAGGUCAAACUAUGCCAAGUUGCUGCAACCAGUUGUUAUUGUGUCUGAGCAGCUUUACUUCUUCCCAAGUACAUUGCACUUUUCAUGCGAUUAAGCGAAAUCUGAUACGGCACGCCAUGUGAACUAAAAAUCAAAGAAGUCCCAGCAGCAGAAACUCCAAGUAUAUCAACCAUUCAUGUCUGCGCAAUAAUCAAUAACUUUGUUUAGGUAACGACUCGCGAUUGAAGCUAUUGACAAAAAUAUGGAAAAAAGUGACUAAUCAAUUAAAGUGCAUCAGAAAAAUUCCCAUCGGAAGUUCAAAGUAAUCAGGACCAUAAAGAUAACCGGGUAUCUAACUAUACAUGAAAUGGGUGUUCAAAAUGCUUGCAUUUGCACUUGCACAAUGCAGCUCCUUGAGGCAUCCACCUUACAUCACACCUCUCUCAAUGGGUUCAAUGACUCCCGAUGGCUUUUCUCCGCGUUCGGCGUAAAUUUUCCGACUUUCCACGCACACACAAAUUAGUUAUAAACACCCGGAUGAGGCGCAGCUCCCCUUCUAAUAUAAUUAGCCACCGAAAAGGGAGGGAUAUAGAAAAGUACAUAUAUGCAGACAGGGACGGAAAAGCGCUGGAGGGUGGGUGGCCAAAUCAAAUUUACAUGUUUAUUUUUACAAGCCUACAGCUAGAAACCCGGUGGAAUGGGAGCACCUCUCUAUCGAUGCACACGAUAGAUCCGCGUGUAUAUAUAUAAACAUCUAUGGUUUGGUUUUUUAUUUGGGCGCUGAAGCAUGCAAGAGGCCCCAGCCAAGAAGAACGCAACUUUUUCAGCUCCGAACAGACAUAAAACCGAUCUAAAUAUACACGCGUGGAUAUAAGGAAGCAAGCGGAACAUGAAACACACAAUAAACAACAUUGUCUCUGAGGUGCUGAGGGUUUCAGCCGAGUAAAUCGUAUGAAAGAAAUUUGAAAUACUUAUAAGAGUUUGAUCUCUUCUUAGUUGAAGCAACUUAAUUGUUAAGGAAGCAAUUAAUACCGCGUUUCAAUGCAGUACUGUACUUUGGAGAGCCAGAUACGAUAAGCCCGGCUUUCUUCCGCUACGUUUUGUUGCGCUUUGUAGGCUUGCUGUUUAUCGAAGCGUUGCAAUUACUGCGAAGGGCCAGUGAAGAGGUCCACAUAAAUACAUACAUAUAUACGUAGAUACGAGUACAAUAUAGAAAAGUUGAUAGUUACUCCUAUACAACUUGCAUUUCCUCGCACUUGACUGCACAAGACACCCCCCAUCCCGAUUUUCCUCAGUCCGCGAACGCUUUGUGUAAUUAAAUCACUCGAGCGUUGAGGGGGAGCCCACAAUAACAGCUUGAAGUUGCGCCGAGUGGCAUGGAAUGGACUCGAAGAGUCGUCUUUUGAUAGAAACACAGAAACACAUCAUUAUUACAUUAUAACGUUAUUAUUGUUAUUACAAUGGCAGACAGACCAUUCAAGUGUUUUGGGCUCGGAAUUCGAUAGUUUUUGGUGCCACUGGUUGCAUUGUUACCCGUUUACCUCAUUAAAACCUAGUGUUAUAGCCAAACCAUGCAAAUUUCUUAGAUUUUAGCAUAUUAAAUACCCCGAGCAGCUGCAGAGCUGAACCAAAUCUAGUUCUGGUUCCUCCCCAAAAUAGGUGUACAUAUUAAUUACAUUAGAGUUCUGCCCGAAAUACGAAGCACAAACGCUUAAGGCCGAAAAUCGAAUUUCAAAAAACCCGAUCUGACCAAGUUUCCAGCGAUGGAUAGCCGAACAGCUGCUGCUGGACAUUGAGGCAUAGAUUAAAGACCCGUAGGUGUUCGAGUCGAGUAGAAACCGACUGUGAUUUAUGCCUAGCAACCAGCAGUUCGCCCGCCCGCCUUAACCCGUCUGGGCUAACACGCCCUCCCGAAAGGAGGCCUACAAAACUGACCCAAAGAUGCCUUUGGAUAUCUUUUCGUCUCACUUUGCGUGAGUUAAUUGCAGCCGAUUUCUGGGCCAGGUAUACUAUGUGCUUGCUAUACUAUAUAGUACAUACAUAUAUAGCAGCGGUGUGUCUUACCUGUAGCUACCUGAACUCCACCUUUUGUCUUGCGUCAGUUGCAACACCCUGCGGCGUAGCGUUUCUAUCUAGUUUUAUCUUUAUCUAUGGGGUGGUAUGCGUUGUUAUCUCUUGGCCCAGACAAAAUGUUAACAAUUUUGUACUACACAUUUGGGUCGAGAGGCGAACUACGGCGAUACGCUGAUUAUAUUUAUAAAUAUACUUUUAUUUUUAAGGUAAAAUAAUUCACAAUUGCUUUUAAUUACACACUUUCUAAUUAAAUAUGUGCGAAUUGGAAAGGUUAUGAACUUAAUGUGUGAUAAAUCGAAAAGUCUCCGCUCUCCGAUGUUCACUGUACUCGUCUUCAAGCUGCCAACUUAGUUCAAUAACUGAUAAACAAAAGAUGUGGGAGGCACUAAAUAGGUCACGAGAUAGCUUUUUAGAAAAAAAGUACAGCGCAGAUCGUUGUGUAUAUCCCCAAUCGUUAACAACUGGUAUUUAUAGCUAAUGCCAAUCAGUUUUUAACAGCACUUGCAGAGAUAAACACUAUUUCGCUCUGUUCGUUAUCAAUAGCGCGAAAUUAUCAAUUAUAAAUGGCAAUGCCUUGUAUCAGCUUGCACAAUUAUAAACGAACUUUAAAAUGACCAUAGGAUGUGUGACGCAUCACGAUGAUGACCUCAUGAGGGGGAGAAAAAUGACUGAAAAAAUACUAACGGGGUUUGUAUAAGCGGAUGCCUCAAAGUGGGAAAAUAUAGCAACAGAUGUCUGGAGCGAGAAUGCUUGGCAUACAACUAUGACCAACAGAAAAGUACUUGCUGCGAAAUCAACAACUAACGCUCACAUUAAAGUAUGCAAAGUCUUUUAAGCAUUAAAUUUACAGAUUAUUAACUGCAAA